rnacentral:snRNA from 1 species
GGAUGUGAGGGCGAUUUGGUUGCGACAUCUGUCAUUCCACUGAUCUCCAGGGCUUCCUCUGCUGAUGUGGCUGUCUAGGUGGCGGUCUGCUUCCCCCCCUCAGUGCUCCAUGUGUGUCCCUAGUGUGCUCAGUCGAAGAGAACGACCACGCCUAACAGAGGAGGACCGCUCCUAGGUCAAGGGUGUAGAGGUAGCUGCGCUGCUCUGCUAGAAUCUCCAAACAAGCUCUCAAAUUAAGUUGCAAAAACCAUGAGAAACAUGUCCUGUGGAAUUAUUCAUGUGCAGGUCGAUACUGAUACAGAUACAGACACAUACACACCCACAGACUCGCACUUUUUUCU